AAUUUUCAAACAAAUUUUUCAUUUCAAAAUAAAGUGUUUUCAUUCAAAACAAGGCAUAAACAAUCCAUGCGUCAUAACAGAAUACAAAUCAUAUGAAUCCCAAGAUCACAAAACAUCUAUCAGUGUGUACAGAUCACGCCGGCGCCUUCCCACGGUCCUCGCUAGUACCUGAAACACAUACACAACGACUGUAAGCAUAAUUGCUUAGUGAGUUUCCCAAAAUACAACUUACACACAUACGCCUUUCCAGGCCCUGACCUUCCGGUCCAUGUGUCUCAGGGGACUUCCGUCCCUGCUGGGUAAACCUUCCGGUCCUACCCACGCCAACCUUACGGUCCACAUCACAACGCCUUCCGGCCCAUAACAUANGUGUGUACAGAUCACGCCGGCGCCUUCCCACGGUCCUCGCUAGUACCUGAAACACAUACACAACAACUGUAAGCAUAAUUGCUUAGUGAGUUUCCCAAAAUACAACUUACACACAUACGCCUUUCCAGGCCCUGACCUUCCGGUCCAUGUGUCUCAGGGGACUUCCGUCCCUGCUGGGUAAACCUUCCGGUCCUACCCACGCCAACCUUACGGUCCACAUCACAACGCCUUCCGGCCCAUAACAUAAUGCCUUCCGGCCCACAUAACAUACAUAGUACGUAUAACAAUUAACUUAUCACAUAUAGCACAUAUAUCACAUAUCAUAUCCGACCUUCCGGUCACACAGUCAAACCCUUCUGGGUACAGUAUAGUGAGAAGACUCACCUCGUGAAUAUCGAAAGCUAGCAAAUCCCGAAGUCCCUCGUGCUCGAUCCACCGAGCUACAAUCUCCCUAUAACAUCAUACAUCUCUUAUUAACACUUUUAUCUUCUAA
rnacentral:lncRNA from 1 species